rnacentral:lncRNA from 1 species
GUUUUCUUUAUUACUAUUUCAUUGAUUUCUGCUCUGAUCUUUAUGAUUUCUUUCCUUCUACUAACUUUAGGUCUUGUCUGUUCUUCUCUCUUGAGCUGCUUUCGAUGUCAAGUUAGUUUGUUUAUUUGAGCUUUUUCUUGUUUCCUGAGGUGGGCUUGUAUUGCUAUAAGCUUUCCUCUUAGAAUGGCUUUUGCUGCAUCCCAUAGGUUUUGGAGUGUCAUAUCUUCAUUGUCAUUUGCUGCUAGGUAUUUUUUAAUUUGCUUUUUGAUUUCUUCAGUGGUCCAUUGGUUGUUUAGUAGCAUGUUGUUGAGUCUCCAGUAUUUGUGUUUUUUGCAGUUUUUUUUUCUUGUUGUUGAUUUCCAGUCAUAUAGCAUUGUGGUCGGAAAAAAUGCUUGAUAUGAUUUCAAUUUUCUUAAAGUUACCAAGGUUGGAUUUGUAGCCCAUGAUGUAAUCAAUCUUAGAGAAUGAGCCAUGUCCACUUGAGAAGAAUGUGUAUUCUGUUGCUUUUGGAUGGAAUGUCCUAUAAAUAUCUAUUAAGUCCAUCUGGUUUAAUGCAUCAUUCAGUGCUUGUGUUUCCUUAUUGAUUAUCUGUCUGGUUGCUGUUAGUGGGAUGUUAAAGUCCCCCACUAUUAUUGUGUUAUUGUCGAUUUGUCUUUUUAAGGUUGUUAGCAGUUGCCUUACAUAUUGUGGUGAACCUAUGUUGCAUGUGUAGAUAUUUAAAAUUGUUAUAUUUUUCUUGGUUUGAUCCUUUGGUCAUUAUGUAAUGUCCUUCCUUGUAUCUUAAAAUCUUCUUCAUUUUAAAGUCUAUUUUGUCUGAUAUGAGUAUUGCUACUCCAGCUUUCUUUUGAUCCCCAUUUGCAUGGAAUAUUUUCUUCCAUCCUCUCAUUUUCAAUUUGUAUGUGUCCCUGGAAGUGAAGUGGGUCUCUUGAAGACAGCAUAUAUAUGGGUCUUGGUUUUUUUUAUCCAUUCAGCCAGUGUAUGUCUUUUGUUUGAGAACUUUUUUUUUUUUUGUCUUUUUGCCAUCUCUUGGGCUGCUCCCACAGCAUACAGAGGUUCCCAGGCUAGGGGUCGAAUCAGAGCUGUAGCUGCUGGCCUACACCAGAGCCACAACAACACGGGAUCCGAGCCGCGUCUGCAACCUACACCACAGCUCACAGCAAUGUCAGAUCCUUAACCCACUGAGCAAGGCCAGGGAUUGAACCUGCAACCUCAUGGUUCCUAGCCAGAUUCGUUAACCACUGCGCCACAAUGGGAACUCCUAAGUAAUUAUUGAUAUGUAUAUUCUUAUUGCCAUUUUAUUAAUUGCUUUGGAUUUUUGUUGCUCUUUUUUCUUCCCUUCUUUUCUUGUUCUGUCCUCUUCUGGUUUGAUGACUAUCUUUAGUGUUGUAUUUGACAUGAUUUUUCUUAUUUGUUUGUGUAUCAAUUGUAGAUUUUUGGUUUGCAGUUAUUGUGAAGUUUUGAUAUGAGUCUAUAUGUAUAUGAGAUUGUUUUAAGUUGUUGUUCUCUUAAUUGCAAGUGCAUCUCCAGUGUCCUGCAUUUGUACCCACCUCUUCUCAUGAUUUCUGAUUUUGGUGGCAUAAUUGUGCAUGGAUGAUUUCAUAUCUUUACUGUAUAUAUACCUUUACUGGUGAGCCUUGUCAUUUGUGGAACUUUUGUUUCCUGUUGCUGUGUUUUCUUUUCUGCCUAGAGAAGUUCCUUUAGUAUUUGUUGUAAGGCUGAUUUAGUGUU